GAUGAACGCUAGCGGCAGGCCUAAUACAUGCAAGUCGAACGGGAUUUGGGAGCUUGCUCCUGAUGAGAGUGGCGCACGGGUGCGUAACACGUAUGUAACCUACCUUAAUCUGGGGGAUAGCCUCUCGAAAGAGAGAUUAACACCGCAUAACAUCACAUACAUAGCAUUUUGGAGUGAUCAAAUAUUUAUAGGAUUAAGAUGGGCAUGCGGAACAUUAGCUAGUUGGUAAGGUAAUGGCUUACCAAGGCUACGAUGUUUAGGGGAUCUGA
rnacentral:rRNA from 1 species